ACCACUAACUCACUAACUCCUAUUCUCCUACCCUAGCGCAGCCAAGAAACCUCAUUACCCCAACCCUUCCCAGCCCCCUCCCAGCAGCGCCUCCUAGCCCCGCCUCCCAGCCCCUCCCACUCCCAGUCCCGCGAACAAGCGCCUCCCAGUCCCGCGAACCAGUGCCUCGCAGCAACGCCUCCCAGCCGCGCCUCGCAGCAACACCUCCCAGCCGCGCCUCGCAGCAAUGCCUCCCAACAGCGUCGGACCAGCCACCCAGUAGCGCCGGACCAGCCCCUUCCAGCAUGCAGCACCUCCCAACACCGAACACCAGAUAUGGAGGAUCCAACUCAUCCAAGUCAGGGCAGCACAACAGAUAGCACCCAAGAUCAACACAGCACCUUGCCACUUCCACCCAGCAGCCGAUUCAAGUGAAUAUGGAGCCCGAGCCAUCUAUUCAGGUUUGGGGCUGAUGUGAUGGAAGUAGUUGCAUUUUGGACAAAAGCCUUGUGCGUUGACAUCUCUCAAGGCCGCAUACCAAAUCAUGUUGAUGAUGUCAAAGCUGAAGCUAGUGACUUAGGAAAUAAAGUUUUAUCUAAUUGGAGUGUACUUCACAUUAGGACAGGCAAUGGUUUCCUUCUCCAAGAAUUAGCUAAACAGGGUAUGGUAUUUAUUGUGAUGUUCUGCACUUUUAGUAAUAUAUGCUGUAUAAUUCUUUUAUAUAAAAAAAGAGAAAAGAAAGACUUUGUAAAAGUUAGCAAAUUUCUGAAUUACUCUUUAUUAUAACAAAAUGUGUAUUGUUGGAAAUCGGAAGGCAUGUGAAUCUUGUGCCAUAUAAAUUUGU